GGCUCGGUGGUGGAUGGUCCACGCCUGCAUUUCUUGAACCAGCUUUACGUAGACGCAGGACGAGCCCGUUCGAUUCGGGCCUGAGCCA